GGAACACGCGGACCUGGAAGCGGAGAACCGGGGUUGUGCCGGGCUCGUGAACGCGUGGGAUGUACCGGUACCGGUACCGGGCGCUCAGCCCCGCAGUGAUGGCACUGACAGGCACAGCAAGUGGAGCUCAGGGAUCCACACACACACAGCACAGGGCUGCAUUCCAUGGCUGCAGACCCCACAAUGUGCCUGGGCUGGGGGCACAGCGCUGUGUGCUGAGAAGGAAUUCAUGCUCAGAGCCGUGACCUUCAGCUGGAGCAGCCACCUCCCAUCACAGCAACAGGGAUAUUUAUAGGGGCGCUGCCCUUUGCAGCAUAGCAGCCUGUGCUCAUCCCACACCAGGAGCUGGAUGCACAACUGGGGCCCUGUGGCAGCCCUGGGCAGGCAGCGGGAGCUGCCCCCUCCUGUAUUUCUCCAGGAAUAAAGCUCUGCACAGCUGCAAUUGGGACAGGGUGAUGGACUGGCCCUAGAAAUCAAGGUCCUUCAGUACAAUGGGGGGCUGUGUUCCCUGCAGGGGUGAGGGGUGGCUGGGGAAUGAGGCUGGAGCUGCAGCUCUGCACUUGACAUGGAAGAACAAAGAGCUCAGAGAACUUUAUUGAGGAUGAAUGCAGCUCACUAUAGCCACCAGGAGCUCAGGGCUGACCCAGUGCAGGCAGGAGCCCAGACUGCAGCUGACAUUCAUUGGUAAGGGAGCUAAAUGCUUCCUCUGCCACCCAGGUCAUGCUGCAUCCUCAGUGGGGUGACUGUAGGAGGGGAGGUGGGUGCAGCUCACAGGGCCCUCAUCAGAAACGAGAGCUCACAGCACCAUCAUUAGCUCUUCCAGUUU